UACGUAGGGCGCAAGCGUUGUCCGGAAUUAUUGGGCGUAAAGAGCUCGUAGGCGGUUUGUCGCGUCUGCUGUGAAAACUCGAGGCUCAACCUCGGGCUUGCAGUGGGUACGGGCAGACUAGAGUGCGGUAGGGGUGACUGGAAUUCCUGGUGUAGCGGUGGAAUGCGCAGAUAUCAGGAGGAACACCGAUGGCGAAGGCAGGUCACUGGGGCGCAACUGACGCUGAGGAGCGAAAGCAUGGGGAGCGAACAGG
rnacentral:rRNA from 1 species